GAGGCAAGAUCAUGAAAGUUCUCAUUGGGAUUAUUCUUCCUGACCCAAGAGUCCAGGAUGCCAUGGGAAGAGCUGGAUGCUCUACUGCAUGGACCUGGAAUAAGCUGUGGGAUGAUCUGAAGACAAAGGUGGCAACAGAAGCAGUAUACUGGUGACUUAGUGAAACUGCCAAGGAAACUGUCUCUUCUGUUUGAGAUGGUCUGUGCAUGUCUGCUGCUGGUGGGACACCAGCGGUGUUGGCAGCAGGGGCCGAGCAGUGGGGCUGUGCUGAGACGCCUGCAUUCGGAGUCAUCCUGGUGUUUCAGUGGGCCCUUCUCUGAACUGUGCCUACCAAACAGGAUCCCAAAUGCCCCUGAGGUUAGAGCCUGGUGCUUGUCAGGACUGAAUGAGCUGCCACGAAGCCAACAGGAGGCAGGUAAAGUUAAUUAGGGUGGGUCAGGCCUCAUUUCCCUACAUAAGAGUCCUCCAGGACUCGGGCUAAUGCAAAGGAGGCCUCAUGUCCCCCUCAGUGCAUGAUAGAAAGCUGGCAGGAAGCCUCCCUUAGAGGAGGCAGGACUUCCCUCCACACGUAAACUCAAACUGUGACCAAGAACCAGAAGGUAACUUUGCUGCUGCCUCCGAAGAGCCGCUUGGCCGGACCCCUAGGUCGAAGCCAGCAGGCUCCUGCACUGGCGUGUUGCUCUGCCAGCACCUGGAGGAGCACCAGGAGGAAGCGGAACCCUCCUGGUUCCCGUCACGCUUCCAAAAAUUUGGGGACGCUGAGCACUGAUCAGCAUGAUGAGAUGGGCCUGAUGAGGUGCACAGCACCUUGCUGUGAGGAGCAGACAGAUUUCUGACAAAGAAGUGGCAAAAAAAAGGAAGAAAGCACAGCCAAAGCCAGUGCAUCAGAGCAAGUAUUGGAGCCAGACCCAGAGGGUUAAAGCAGCCCAGAAAGCCUCAGAGAGUCCCUCAGGACAUCUCCCAAGUGGACUCAGUGAGAUCAGUGGAAGUGAUUUCCUUUUUCCUGAGCACCCUGGAGCAGAAGAGGGAUGGCACUGUGCUCCGUGCACUGGUGCUGUGCCUGAGAUUCACACUUUGUGCCAGCGCCUCCCCACCUCCUGCCAGCACAGCUCCCGCGGGCAACUUACUGAGUUCGGUGGAUUUGUCUUCCCCUUCUUUCCAGCAGCAGCGGCACAGCCUGCAAGGACAACAUGGCCAUCAGCUCACGGCCCAGGAGGGCAACUCUUGCUCUCCCGACCCACGUCCCCAUCCUCCUAGGGGUUCCCAAGGAAAGGAAGACCCAACCAGACCCAACCCUGUGGCACUGUACAGCUGUGGAAAUGAAUAGUGGUCCCUGUUCAAGCAUCUUCAUUGCCCUAGAAGUAUUGGUUUCAAUAAGCACUCCUGAAGCUGGAAGGUAAGGGUGGCUGCACCCAAGGGUGCUGGGCACCCUGAGUCUGAAGCUCAUCUGCCCCAGCACCCCAGGGUGCCGUGGGCGCACGUGCCAGCACGCUGAUGGCUCGCUGGCCUGUCAGAAAGCUUUGCGCUCCCUUCCGAAGCGCCGCUAGCCUGUCCCAAUUGGUGGCCAAAUGUCAGCGGAUUCAAAUCGCUCGCAGCCAGCUCUGUGCUCUUUCCAUCAGCGCUGGCUCAGAUGACAGGGCAUGCUACCGACCCCCCCGAGUAUUAUUAUCGUUAUUUAUUUGUGUCGUGGCAGUGCCUAGGAACAUCCCUGCUGUGGACCAGAGGCCCUUCGUGCCCUGCACUACCGCGGAGCAGGUCGUGCCAUGAGCACUGCUGUGCACCGUGAGCACCCAGCGCUGCUGCAGCGGCCAGCAGUGGGAUGGCUGGGUGAAAGCAACAGGUCUGCAAUCAAGUGUAACGGGAAGGAAUUGUUUCCCUGGGUUUUGCUCUGCAAGACCAACUGUCUCAAUAAGCUGGCUCCCCUUACAGUGUUUUUCAACUGUACAGAGACGAGCCAAGGACACAUGAACGUAACGUGAUCUAGGAAGAUUCCCCGAGUGCCAGGAAGUUGGGGCCGCUCACCCAGCCACUGCACUGCCUUUCUCUUUAUGGAUGUGCGCUGGCUCCCCUCUGAAGCUGCGAGAAGAGCGUUUAGGGCUUGCUCGUGCUCGCGGCUGUUCUCAUGAAUGCUGCAGUAACUGGGCUGCCCACGGCUGGUCUCUUCCCUGGAGCUCUUUGCAAGACUCUGCUCUCCCACCCCAGCCCCACAGGGACCACAGGUCAUUCCCCUUCCCAGUGCCCACCAGCUGCAGGACUGUCUGGGCACAGAUGUGCUGCCCUUGGUUCCUCUCUGCCUUUUUGUGCCCCCUGUGCCUCUUCCCCCCCACUGUUUAUGGACAAACAGCAGCAGUAGAUGCUCCCCGGGACCUGUGGGCAGCAGGGCAAAACUAGGCUGCAUCAGCAACCACCAGAAGAACAGGUAAUUAUUUGGUGAUAACGAGGCUUCGGGCUGUUAGCAUGAGGUCCUGCUGGUGGCUCCGGUCCCUCUGCCUUCAGCUUUGCUCUCCCUGCUGGUAACUGCCCACGUCCCCCAGCUUGGUGCCCGUGCUGAAGAGGGAUCACCACCGCGCGUGGCAGACAGGGGCACCGUGAGCCACAGGUGGUGCUCAGGGCGGGCUGGUGACCUGCUCAGGACCCUGCUGCAAGGCAGGGAGCACUGCCUUUGCCCCCGUGGCAUGGUGCCCUGCCCAGGUGGCACGGCAAAAUCAUGUGAGGCGAGGAGCUGGGGGCUGACAGCAUCCCCUGGCCAAGUCAUCAUGACCAUCUGCUCCGCGCCGUGCCAGGCUGACGGCUGCUGCAAAGAGCGAAAACGUGCUAUCAAAGGCGGAAACUUGGCAAAAAGGUGGAAUGGGGAAUGUGCAGGUAUGGUGCACUGAGGGGCUCAGUGCAGCACGCGGCUGGGCUUGGGGCUGUCUGUGUUAGGAAAUUUUCUAAUGUUCUGUCUUUGAGCUUUAGUCCUCUUGUUUCUUUUAACUUAUGAAAAGUGUAAGGCUGUUCCUAGCUCUGCCGAGAGCUUUUCUUUGUGAGCCUGCCCAGACAAACUUUGGGGACCUGCUCAGUGCUGGCUCUGGCCAGCCUAAGCCGACGUUAAUUCCAACCGAGAUUCAAAGGCUUUCACGAUCAGACUUAAAGCCCAAGGUCGCUGCAACACAUCAGCAUCGAAAAGAACCAUUUAAAAAUAAGUUGUGAUAACUGAAUGGGAUGCUCUCUGGCUGACCAAGCCCUGGGCACCUCAACUGGCUGUGACCUUGUGCUGAUCUCCACGUGUCCCCACUUGACCGUUUUCCUUCCCUCCAGGAGGCGAUGUGAAAAUGAGCGGGGUCACGUUUGCGAAGCAAUCCCCUUCCCUUGCUCCCUGCACCAGCUAACGAGCCACCAGCCCGGGUUUUAGUUGAGAAAGGGGCUCCCAGUGUUUUGGACUGAGGCAAGCUUGGAUACAUGACCCUUAUGGUUUGGACACUGAAAGUCAAAGAAAGAGAAACCUAAACCCAUUUGACUUAAAGGUCACGAGACUUGGUGUCAUGGUAUUUGGGGUCUUGCGAUUUUUAAAUGUUAAUGCUGCAAGCCCCGAGCCUGGAAAUUCACUGCCAGUAGUUAUCAGCGGUGACUUGGAGACUCAAGUUGUUUUUAACUUGCUUCAGCAGAGGCUUGAUGACAGAAAGUGACCUGUGGUCAUGGCCUUCUGUACAAGGUCCAU